CGCCCCUCGGGGCUUUGACAGCGGCGCGGCGGGGAGCGGGGUUACGCCCGCGGGCCCGGGCUGGCGGAGCGGGACGGGACGGGACAGACACCCCGCGCCGGCUGCGCCGCGGCGUCCUGCCCCUCCGGGAACUGCCGCGUGGGACCCGGCCGCUGCGGCGCGGCACCGAGGGGAGCAGCGGAGGGAGCCGAGGCCGUGCCGAGGGCCGGGCAGCGGGAGGAGCGAGAUGCUCUGAACAUUGUGUAUUUGGUGUGAGGGAGGCAGCCCUCCCUAGCAGACACAAGGUCUAGAGAUGGAACACGCCGUUCUGGGAGCAGCAGUACCAAUGAAGUCUCAUGCACAGUGACUCUCCCUUUUCCUGCCCUGCAUGGAAGCCCUGAGGUCUACCAAAGAAGGAACAUGCCAGCCUUCCCCCCGAGGGGUCUUUUUUGUUUUUCCUGAAAUCACCAAACUUACUAGCUCUCUGUCAGAUUUAGUUGAAAACUGCGUAAUGUCCUCAGGAUACGUUUGUGGGAACACAACAUUAUGAAAAGGGAAAAAUUCCCACCUCUAUAGGAAACAAAACUAAGUAGCAACCAGCUGACGUGAACACUGAAUUUCAACAGUUCUGUCGUGGGCCACCGUGAACAAAGUGAAGACUUUCAGCCUGCAUUACCCCUCUGCAGACAGCAGCUCCGCAUCCAGGUGCUCCGCUCACCUUUAUCCAUCCCUGUCCCAUCGGUCUGUGAGGCCCUUGGUACGGAACAACUCUUCUCUAGUAUGGAAAUGCUGAAGUCACCUGGCAGUGCUACCAGAAACAAUAAUUAUGUAAGACAGAAAUACACUGCAGUAACUGCCUAAGCCCCAAUUACAUCUGAAGAGGCAAUAAAAUUUAUUGAGGGAAAUAUUGUUCCAGAACGCAGUGUAACCAGGGUAAUCCACUGCUUCCAGCAAAGGAAAAAAAACCUAGGGUCUGGCUGGAUCCUCAGCACAGCUUCAGCCCUGGCUGAAUAUCUAAACUAGAGGAUCUUUCCUAGAAAACAGGUAGGACUGGAUACAUCGUAUAACUUCCUAGAGGGAUUUUCUUUCUUGGCAAGCAGUCUUCCCACAGCAAGCAGGAAAAGGAACAUCAUUUAACACCUCUGACCUCAUUAACCUACCUGAUUCUGGGCUUCCUACCUCAGGCCGUGCUCACCCGGCUCGGAAGUGCUGGUUGGUUCUGGCUCUCACCCUUCUCCUGAAUAUUCUGCAGAACGCCGGCAGGUGCCGCCACCGGCUCAGCAAUAAGCCAGGCGAUUAAAAAGCCUUUUUCCCGUGGGUGGCGAGGAUGGGCUGGGGGCAAAGCACAUCGCGGCUCCCAGCUUCGGCAGCACCUUGGACUAAGGCUUUCGCAGCCAGCUGAUUUCUCCACUGCAGAUUAUCUCGCGGAGAUGUAGAUGUCAUAGCUCAAGCUGCAGGUACCUGCAUACUAUGAAGCACAGCAGGAAAUGAUGCCCUGUGCUCUCAAACCUUCUCUCGCACCACUACGUCCUCAGCUUUCAAGGGGAGUUAAAGAAAAAAAGAAGCCCUAGCUGUACCCAGGUAUCCAGCUAGGGCUGCCCGUCGCUGGGCCCGAGCAGGCAAAGCAGGAGGUGGCUGGACAUCCUGCUCCAGACUUGCUGUGCCCAGCAGAGGCGGGAUGCCCAGAGAGCUUCCAAAGCAACCACUUGGCUCCUCCAACAGUGCCACAGACAUGGCUGGGAGGAACAAGUGCCUCUGGAAUCACCGUGCCUGUGAAAGAGUUAAGCAGUUCCCUUUCUCCCUUAGCUGAAUCAGAGGAUGCUUCAUACGUUCUGAUUCUGGAACAAAGGCCAAGCAAGUGCAGUCACCGCUCAGAUUGCUUUAUGCCCUGGGUCACCAUGACUUUGCUGUAUGCGUGCAUGAGCUCUGCAGCAAAUACUGAUUCACCCAGUGUUGUCAGCUACAUCCGUGAGCUAGAGGGGGGUCUCCCCUCUGCAUCCUUGUGAAAAAAAUCACUCACUGGCCUCUCUUCCCCACGACAGCAAAACCCUCCCUUUAAUAGAAUGACAAGGGUGAUUGCUCUGUAUUUAGCCUUCUUGUUUCUCAUUCCUCAUUGCUGAGGACUGCGGUCAUGGAUCAUAGCAUAUCAGGAGAUCACAGCUAUCCCAGCUGCCUCUCCCCUUUGUUAAUGAGUCUUCACCACUGAAGCAGACCUUCCACUUAGGGCAAAUGGGGCAUCCUUGGACUCUGAAGCUCGUCCCCGGGAUUUGUUUCAUUUUGAGUCAGAUAUGAAAGACUGCAAUUCAGGCUAAAACUUUCCAGGGUAUACAACUGCUUGCCUGAAUUUCCUCUCUCUAGGUUAUAAAUAGGAUACAGGUGAUAAAUAACAAGAGACUUGCCCAUCUGCCCACUCACUUCUCCUUGGUGACUGAGGAAAGAGAAGGCUAACUCUGUCCCUGGCUGGACUGAAAUCUUAGCUCACGUGAACCGAGAAAAAACCAGACCACAGCCAGGGUGCUGACCUGGGUCCUUGUCAGUACUGAAACACCAAGCAGCCAUGACACAGUUUCCUGCCCAUGUGUUUUUGACAACUGGCGAUGACGAAGAAGGCACUCACACCAAAACCAGCUUGUGGACUAGAUUAGCCACAAAAACUGGGCAGUCCUACAACACCACAGCACAGUCAGCAUAACUGCCCUAAGCGUGCACAAAAGGUCAUACUGCAGUUCCAAACUUACAGAGAAUAGUGAGGAGAAAGAUGAAGUUUUAACGAGUAUGAUACCUCAGUCUUUCUCAGCUGAUACAAGCUGUUUUUUCUAAGGCAGGUGCUUUUGUAGAUGCCCCAUCCUCUUUGUUCCAGACAGCAUGAGCCCAGGUGGUCACAAUUGCAAAAGCAGAGGUAUAGCUGCCUUAGCUUGAGCUGCUGCUGUCUGGGAGCUGAGUACAACUAGCGGUCAUCUGUGAAAAGCAAGGGAAACAACAUUAUGUGAAGAGGACCCCAGUUCACCAAAUGCAGUCUUCAAAGCAUGCUCUUCUCCUGCGUUAGGAACAGAUGGUUGUGACCAGCCUCAGCAACAGGGCUAGUCACAGGCUGGAUCUUUAAGAAACCCAGAGUGACUGAGAACUCCAGUUCCUUGAGUAGUUCUGUGGUAGGAGAGGAAUGAAGCAGAACAGUUGCAUGUAAGGUGAGCUGUGUAGUGCAAACAAUGAGAGUUGAAGUAUUAAUCUCUAGUUCAUGUGCUGCAAUCCCUGCUUCUACUCCAGCAGGGAACAAAAUUAAAUUUUUGCUUGUUUUGUUUUCUUUCAAAGGGGCACAACUGAAAUUGUGAGGCCUUUUGUCUAACUGCUUCGGCAACCAUAGGCAUUCUGUUAAUAUAGAGCAAAACAACCUCUCUAGUGGGAGAAAUAAAAAACUUUGUUAUAAAUAA